CCGGCGCCGGUCCGGGAGCCGGCUGCUCCCAGGAGCCGCGCAGCGUGGCGUGCCGCUGCAGGGCUCGUGCUCCGCGGCACCGGUCGUUAAGCGUCGAGGUGUUCAGGAGUGAGACGCUUGACUCAGCCAAUAUAUCAAGCGGCAAUUCAAUUUAUUAAUUAAUAUGGACUUCUGUCCAGUGUGGAAAAGGCAGAAAUGACCGAGAAGGAGGAUCCAAGAAUGAGAAAAGAUGGAAAAACACAGAUUUGGGUUAUUUUAUA